AAUCAACGCUGGCGGCGUGCCUAACACAUGCAAGUCGAGCGCGGAAAGCGGGGCAACUCGCAAGUAGAGCGGCGAACGGGUGAGUAACACGUGGGUGAUCCUGCCUCCGGAGUGGGGAACAACAGCGGGAAACUGCUGCUAAUACCGCAUGACAUCUUCGGGUCACACUGAAGAUCAAAGCCGGGGACCGCAAGGCCUGGCGCUUGGAGAGGAGCCCG
rnacentral:rRNA from 1 species